GGAUGUGAAGGCUAUCUGGCUGUGACAUCUGUCACUGCAUCUAUCGCCAGGGUUGAUUUGGCUGAUCUGGCUGGCUAGGCAGGUGUCCCCUUCCUCCCUCACUACUCCAUGUGCAUCCCUCCCCAAGCUGCGCACUUGGCCAAAGAGGGCGACCUUCCCUGAGAGAAGGGGACCAUUCUUCCGCCAAGGGCAUAUGAGUAGCUGUGCUCCCCUGCUGGAACCUCCAAACAAGCUCUCAAAAUAACAAAUAAAUAGGGAAGGAAGGAAAGACUAAAUUAAAGGUAAAAAGGAACCUCCAAUAU
rnacentral:snRNA from 1 species